rnacentral:misc_RNA from 1 species
GAUGAAGAACGUAGCGAAAUGCGAUAAGUAAUGUGAAUUGCAGAAUUCAGUGAAUCAUCGAGUCUUUGAACGCACAUUGCGCCCCCUGGUAUUCCGGGGGGCAUGCCUGUCCGAGCGUCAUUGCUGCCCUCAAGCACGGCUUGUGUGUUGGGCCCCCGCCCCCCGGCUUCGGGGGGCGGGCCCGAAAGGCAGCGGCGGCACCGCGUCCGGUCCUCGAGCGUAUGGGGCUUCGUCACCCGCUCUGUAGGCCCGGCCGGCGCCCGCCGGCGACCCCAAUCAAUCUUUCCAGGUUGACCUCGGAUCAGGUAGAGAUACCCGCUGAACUUAAGCAUAUCAAUAAGCGGAGGA